CAUCCUGCUCUAUAACCCAGAGAGGAGGUUAACAUCCUGCCUCUAAUAAACCAGAGAGGAAAGUUAACAUCCUGCCUCUAAUAACCCAGAGAGGAAAGUUAACAUCCUUCUUCAGAGAGCCAUGGAAAUCUUUUCACCAGUUCAGAAGUGUCAUUGUUUUGUAAAUCGCUACUGCAAAUGACUUAUUAGUUCCAUAUUUCCUGGUUUCCUGUGUAUCUGAGAGCUCUGUGGUGGCAGUGGAGAUUAAGCAGACAGGAACAUUGAUUGCUAUUUCCAUCAUGAAUGGGAAUUAGUCAUUAUUUUCAAAUGUUUUCAUUAACCUUUGACACUCAACGAUUGCCGCCUGCAGCAGAUCAAACUGGGAAGCUAUUCGUUGGGGACGCUAUGUUACAGAUCAAUGGCAUUAAUGUCGAACAUUGUAGUCAUGAAGAAGUUGUUCAUCUCCUGCGGACUGCUGGGGAGGAAGUCACCAUCACUGUUCGUUUCCUCAGGGAAGUUCCGUCUUUUCUAAAGCUCCCAUUGGGCUCUCCUGUAGCACCGCUGGUCAAAGUAGCC